AACGAGAUUAAUACCCGGGAAUAGAAGUAACUCGUUACUUGUAACGAAGUUACAGUUGCAAGUUACUUUUUGGUAACUUUACUGGUAACUGUGUUACUUUUUUUGAUAACUGUAACGGUUGAUGAAGUUACAUGUUUUUGGUAACAGUAACGAAAUUUACAGUUAGUUUCAUCGU